AUGGAGGAUCCCGUCACUGCUUCGCUCGGCCCCAUAGGUCGCCUCUUCCGGCGACUCCAUUCGCUGGAUGCUUCCCAACAGCCUCUGCCGGAGGGGCUCAGUGCGAACGGGGUCCGGCUUCUGAAAGAGGGCCUAGAAGGAUUGUGCGACCACCUCAAGGGUUUGCCGGAGGCAGAUCUGGACCCUGGCUUCACGCCCAAAUGGUGGGCCAAGGAGGUCCGGGAACUUGCUUACGACACGGAGGACUUCUUCGACGAGGUUAUACAGUCCGGCGGCGGCGGCGGCAGAAGUGCUCCUGUUAGUGCCAUAUUCGGAGUUACCAGUAAGCGGAAGCGGCGCCUGCCCCAGAUUGCGCAAGAUUUCUCGCAUUUAAUGGCCCGUGUGGAUGAUGCCAGAGAAAGAUGCAAAAUUUUCCAGCUUGCUCCGGAGACAGCCAUCAAAUCUGACCAUGGACAAGCCAGUACCAGCGGCCACAAAAAGAACUCAUUAUUUGUCCCCUUUUUCUUGUAA
rnacentral:rRNA from 1 species